GAAAACGAAGAAAGUGGAGGAGCACGAAGAGAGGAAAAAGGGGAUAUACUUUAGUGGUUGACCUCCUGCUUACUUCAGCCAUUAAUGUGUGCUUAAACAGACAAAUCUUGUGCAUCAAUACCCCUUAAUUAAUCCCUCUUUUGGAUUCACCCACUUUACGAAAUUCUAACUCCCCCCAAUCCAUUAUUCUAGGUUAAUAGAGAUGGAUUCAAGAUCAAUAUAAUAUUUAGAGAGUAGAUGGCAUAUUUAUAAUUUAUUGAGGACAUAUAUAAUUUUAGAUAGAAGAAUAUAGAGGUUGAGAAUUGAAGUAGAAGGUUAGUAGAUAGUCGG
rnacentral:lncRNA from 1 species